UACGUAGGGCGCAAGCGUUGUCCGGAAUUAUUGGGCGUAAAGAGCUCGUAGGCGGUCUGUUGCGUCUGCCGCGAAAACCCGAGGCUUAACCUCGGGCCUGCGGUGGAUACGGGCAGACUAGAGGUAGGUAGGGGAGAACGGAAUUCCCGGUGUAGCGGUGAAAUGCGCAGAUAUCGGGAGGAACACCGGUGGCGAAGGCGGUUCUCUGGGCCUUACCUGACGCUGAGGAGCGAAAGCGUGGGGAGCAAACAGG
rnacentral:rRNA from 1 species